rnacentral:tRNA from 1 species
UCCCUGGUGGCUCAGGGGUAAAGAAUCUGCCUGCGAUGCAGGAGACACGGGUUCGAUCCCUGCUCUGGGAA